GACGAACGCUGGCGGCGUGCCUAAUACAUGCAAGUAGGACGCAGUUGCGAACGGGUGAGUAACGCGUAGGUAACUACCUAUUAGAGGGGGAUAACUAUGGGAAACGAUAGCUAAUACCGCAUACCAGUAGAUGGACCUGCGUUGUAUUGGCUAGUAGGUAGGGGAAUGGCCUACCUAGGCAACGAUACAUAGCCGACCGUGGAGGGUGAUCGGGCACACCGGGAAGGUGAAACGGCCCAGGAUCCUACGGGAGGGAGCAGUAGGGAAUCUUCGGAAAUGGGGGGAAACCUGACCGAGGAACGGCGGGUGAGUGAAGGAGGUUUUCGGAUCGUAAAGCUCUGUUGUUAAGGAAGCGGUACUUGACCAGAAAGGGACGGCUAACUACGUGCCAGCAGCCGCGGUAAUAC
rnacentral:rRNA from 1 species